rnacentral:rRNA from 1 species
UACAGAGGAGCCAAGCGUUGUCCGGAUUGACUGGGCGUAAAGCGCACGCAGGCGGACGCGCGCGUGGGGUGUGAAAUCUGGCCGCUUAACGGCCAGGCGCCAUCCCAUACGGCGUGUCUGGAGUGAUGCAGAGGUCGGUGGGAAUUGCCGGUGUAGUGGUGAAAUGCGUAGAGAUCGGCAGGAACACCCAGGGGGAAACCAGCCGGCUGGGGACGUGCUGACGCUCAGGGGCGAAAGCGUGGGGAGCAAACAGGG